rnacentral:rRNA from 1 species
UACGAAGGGGACUAGCGUUGUUCGGAUUUACUGGGCGUAAAGCGCGCGUAGGCGGAUCGCUAAGUCAGGGGUGAAAUCCCAGGGCUCAACCCUGGAACUGCCUUUGAUACUGACGAUCUGGAGAUCGGGAGAGGUUGGUGGAAUUCCGAGUGUAGAGGUGAAAUUCGUAGAUAUUCGGAGGAACACCAGAAGCGAAGGCGGCCAACUGGCCCGAUACUGACGCUGAGGCGCGAAAGCUAGGGGAGCAAACGGG